rnacentral:misc_RNA from 1 species
GAUGAAGAACGUAGCGGAAUGCGAUACUUGGUGUGAAUUGCAGAAUCCCGUGAACCAUCGAGUCUUUGAACGCAAGUUGCGCCCGAAGCCAUUAGGCCGAGGGCACGCCUGCCUGGGCGUCACACGUCGUUGCCCCCCCAUCUACUCCUUCGGGAUUGCGGGGGGCGGAUGAUGGCCUCCCGUGCGCCUCGUCGCGCGGUUGGCAUAAAUGCCAAGUCCUCGGCGACACACGCCACGACAAUCGGUGGUUGCGAAACCUCGGUUGCCCGUCGUGUGCGGUCGUCGCGCAUCGAGGGCUCGAAAAAAUUGCCGGGCUCCGGCUCGGCUUUCAACGCGACCCCAGGUCAGGCGGGGUUACCCGCUGAAUUUAAGCAUAUCAAUAAGCGGAGGA